rnacentral:lncRNA from 1 species
AUUGUCUAUGAGGACUUGGCACAACUUUCCCAUUCCUGCAUCUUGUUGCUUCCAAGUUACUCCCAGGAAUGUUCAGAGUAAAUUCUCCUGGAAGAGCCUCCAAGAUGAGCAGCCUGAUCUGUUAGAUUGCACUUCUUCCCAGCUCCUGCAGCUAGAGGAAUCUUGUGUAAUUUCAACAUAUCCAAAGUCAACUAUGUAGGGAGAAGGGAAUUUUUCCCUUUAUUGAAUAGGAGUGACCUUGGCUCUCUGCUAGGGAAGCUUGGUGUUUUCCAAAUGUUUUGAAUAAAGAUACAUUGCUUUACAGUCUUUUUCCCUGUAGAGAAUCUGGGGACAGCAUUCAUUUAUAACCAGAAAUGUUAUGACGAAAUUAAACAAAACCCAUCAAAUUUUAGACUAAAUAUCAAAGAACUUUAUGACAGCUAAAUUCAUUAGAAUGUAGUCAGCCUAAAGAAAUAUCAGAAGCCCUGUGCAUGGGUCAAAUACAUCACAUACAACAUUCCUAAACCCUGGAGAAUAUUGCAUAAGGAGCGGUGUUAGACUUUUGCAUACAGAUGAUAAAGCAAAAAAAGAACAAAUAUUAUCUUUAAAUACAAUAUAUUUGCCAAAUCUGUUUUUUUUUUUUAAUCCCAUGUUUUGUCCAAUUUGAAUAAAGCCUGGUACUUCUUUUAUUCCAGAACAAUUUUGUGGUGGGGAAUGCCAGACCCUGUGCAGUGUGCCAGUAGUUCAAGCCUGCCUCCUGUGCUGGGGUUAGUGUUGGGUGACUAGAUGCAGGGCUGUUGUGGUACCUAAAGACUUCGUCUGCUGAAGGAAGGGGAUCAGUAGGGACUCAUAAUGCAGAAGGGUGCUCUUGUAUUCAUUGGUCACUCAGCCCAGCACUAUCUAGCACUGAUGGAGAAGUGUACUUGAUUGGAUGUUGUCUUUCGUUGCAGAUGAGCUAAUGCUCUUCUCUCACCUUUGUGUAGUGCAUAUCCUGUGGCUCUUGGGAAUGUGAAUUGCUGUAUAUAUUGGCAUGCUACUUGCAGAUACAGGAAGCUGGAUCUUCCCUGUUCUGUAUUACAGGACAUGUUAAGAUUGGACAUCUGAUGGACCUUCUUGAGAGAUGACAGAGUGAGCGUGCUUGAGAAACAGAGAUGUUACAUCUAAUGCACUCUGUCUGUAUUCAACUAAGGGACUCUUUUCAUAGCAUAGAAUAGUCAAGGCUGGAAGGGACUUCUGAAAGUUAUCUGCACUCAAAGUAGAUUAUUAUAUCAGGGCUAUGUCCAGUCAAACACUGAGUAUCCCCAGGGACAGAGACUCCUGAACCUCUCCUAGAGCCCUGCCACAGUGUUUGACUCUACUGAAUGUGAUUUUUUUCUCCUGCUAUGUAAUUGGAAUUGCCCUAGUUGCAUCUUUUGUACUUGUAUUUUGCUCAUAAUAUUCAUAUGAUUUUAGACUGUUUAUGCCAGUAGGCCAUGGAGUCAUGCAAUUGUGAGUGAAGUCCAAUAAAUAGGGCAGGAUCAAUACCUAAUUCUACAAAGAAAUCCUCUUAAGGACAAGAGAAAAAAGCUUGUAUUAAUAGAGCCUUCUAGCAUACACCUCCAAUUUUACAUCACAGAGUUGUCAGUAUCCCCGUUACAAUUUACACUCUAUCAAAAAUACAAACCUCAGCAAGUACAGAAAGUGAAAGCAGUUUUGGAAUGAUCUGUGCUAUAGCAAUUCCCUCCACAAUUGGUCUAAGCUAACCCAAACUGAUGCAUGUUACACAAAUGAUUAUAAAUAGAAGCCAAAAUUUUGUCAGACCAAUAGUGCAAACUUAACAUAUUGCCCCCUUGGUGUCAUUUGAAGAAAAUUAAUGCAGAGGGCCAAAGAGACAGAGUCUGCAAUAUGUAAUGCUCCAGAGACAUAGUUGAGAUUUUGUUCCUAGUGCAGCAGAAAUAAAUGCUCUUGGCAAGUCAUAAGGGAGAAAUAAGACAUGUGCAUAAGUAAGAUUAAUCAGUAAAGUCAGCGUCUAUCUCAUGAGUCAUAUCUGACAUCAAAAACACCAAGAUUGUCACAUGCCAGAUUUGUGCUACUACGGGAAAGGAGAAAAAAACCAAAGAAUUUCCCGUGCAAAUUGUGCUGUAGAUUUGGGGAACAUGUGAGCACUAGUAAGAAUGGGGGCAGGGUACAAAGUGAGGGCUUUAUUCUGUCAGUAGAAAAGUGUGGAAUGAUGGCCUGAGAAAAAUCAGUAACAAUGCUCCCAUGGCUCUUAGUGGAGUCAGGUUUGUACUCAUGAAGUUACAGUGGAAGGGCUUAAUUUCUCAGUCUCUAGUCAGGUAAACUCUCAGAGAACUAAAUGGAAAGGUAAAGUGGACAAACAGCCUGAAUGUCUGUGCUAAAAAUGCUAGAUCUGUCAAACCAAAUUACACAGUAAGCAGUGAUGGCUUACUGUAUACUUCCUUGCCUCCCUUUGCAGAAAAUCACUGUGCCAGGACAGGUAGCACAGUGAUGCUCCACCUCAUUCCAAAUCUUAAAGGCACAAUCUAGGUCUUUUCAUUUUCUGGUAAUGGUUCUAGAAUCCUGCUGUAACAAUCAGAAAGAUCAACAUGAUGAAAUAGUGAUACAAGAGGUGUAAUUACAAAGGGGCAAUAGAGAGAUGUUACAAGGGAAGGAAAAAAGGACUGCUCACCCAUCUCUGAAAAUCCAGGCUCGCAAGGGAAACUCCACAAGAAAGAGAUCCCCAGAAAAAAAGCUUUCCCCAGUGGCAGUCAGCCCUUACACGGAGUCUAGGAGGGGUGCAGCCAGGCUUCUGGUCACACAGCUGAAUUGCCUUCACCUGUGCUCAUAGGGCUGACUCAUUCCUUUCCUCAGGUGCUCAAUCAGUGGUUCAGGCUGUGACUCAACAGUUACCAUACAUCUGCCUAGAAUCAGGUUCCCCCAGGACUGAAAUGAGAGGCCUCCUGUACAGAAAACACUUAUGCCUGUCCAGCCUGAGCUAAACUGAGAGGGGAUGCAAAACGCAGACAAGUUAAAGAAAGAACUGGUUGCCAAAUACAUUGCUAGAUAAACAAUAUAAAGAUGAAGCUAAAGAUGAGGUUGUGUAUCAGUUACUUAAAGGUUAAAAUCAUAUUGUAAUGAACUGUGCACUUGCAGGAAACUUUGAACACUGAUUAUAUUGGCAAAACAACCUGUCAUGUUAAGAACAUGCAAUCAAAGCUUUUCUGCCUUCAGGUGAUGAGGAUAAAAACUGUUAAAACAAUAAAUAUACAUAUUCAGAAACGACCAUCCUCUAGCCUAGAGCUGCUAGUUGUGAGAAGGUCCCACUCAUAUGGCUAAUGCAUGAUCAGUGCAGUGAAUGGACCUAUUCCUUCCCUGUGAGGAGAGAAUGAAUGGAUGAGCCUAAGUGCUGAUAAACGUAACUGCUUCUGGAGUCCCAGCACAGCACAAGUGCCUUGGGACCAAGUACUUGCCCUGCAUUAGCAAGUUCAGUGACUUGUGCCUCCCUGCUUUCUGGUCCAGCUUUGUGUUGUCUCAUAUUAGAGACAUCCUCUGCUCUGCAGCUGUCAUAACACUUGCAAACCACCCACUCUUCACAGGAGCAAUUACAU